rnacentral:rRNA from 1 species
AUUGAACGCUGGCGGCAGGCCUAACACAUGCAAGUCGAGCGGAUGAAAGGGGCUUGCUCCUGGAUUCAGCGGCGGACGGGUGAGUAAUGCGCAGGAAUCUACCUCGUAGUGGGGGAUAACGUCUCGAAAGGGGCGCUAAUACCGCAUACGUUCUGAGGAAGAAAGCAGGGGACCUUGGGCCUUGCGCUAUGAGAUGAGCUUGCGUCCGAUUAGCUAGUUGGUGGGGUAAAGGCCUACCAAGGCGACGAUCGGUAACUGGUCUGAGAGGAUGAUCAGUCACACUGGAACUGAGACACGGUCCAGACUCCUACGGGAGGCAGCAGUGGGGAAUAUUGGACAAUGGGGGCAACCCUGAUCCAGCCAUAGCCGCGUGUGUG